rnacentral:rRNA from 1 species
UACGUAGGGGGCUAGCGUUGUCCGGAAUCAUUGGGCGUAAAGCGCGUGUAGGCGGUCCGGUAAGUCCGUUGUGAAAACUCGAGGCUCAACCUCGAGACGCCGGUGGAAACCGUAAAGCUAGAGUCCGGAAGAGGAGAGUGGAAUUCCUGGUGUAGCGGUGAAAUGCGCAGAUAUCAGGAGGAACACCGAUGGCGAAGGCAGGUCUCUGGGCCAUAACUGACGCUGAGAAGCGAAAGCAUGGGGAGCAAACGGG